UACGUAGGGUGCGAGCGUUGUCCGGAAUUAUUGGGCGUAAAGGGCUCGUAGGCGGUUUGUCGCGUCGGGAGUGAAAACACCGGGCUUAACUCGGUGCUUGCUUUCGAUACGGGCAGACUAGAGGCAUGCAGGGGAGAACGGAAUUCCUGGUGUAGCGGUGAAAUGCGCAGAUAUCAGGAGGAACACCGGUGGCGAAGGCGGUUCUCUGGGCCUGUACUGACGCUGAGGAACGAAAGCGUGGGGAGCGAACAGG
rnacentral:rRNA from 1 species